rnacentral:tRNA from 1 species
GCCUUUCUGGCUCAGGUGGUAGAGCAUGUGAAUCUUGAUCUUAGGGUCUUGAGUUCAAGCCUCAUGUUGGGUG